rnacentral:rRNA from 1 species
AUGGCGGAUCCGCCGUCCGUGGCCGCCAUCGCCUCGCCGCAGCCCGACCAGCUCGGCGGCUCAGCCUCCGCCCCGCAAAACUCCAACCCUAACUCCCUCCUGUCCCCCCAAAUCCCCCCCUCCCCCACCGUCUCCGACCUCUCCGUCAUCUCCUCCCCGCAGCUCGAUCCAGCCGCGGCAGCUGCGGGAGGAGGGUCCGCGGACUUCCCGCCUCGUCCGCAGCAGUUGCAGGCGCCUUCGCCCACGCAGGCAGUGGCCGGCGCCGGAGGCUACGGCCAGAUCCAGCGCUCGGGUUCGGCUUCCCGCCUCGCCGCUGCCAGCCAGCUUCCACAAUACUCCGCGGCAACGGCUAGGAUGUACGGAGGGCAGAUGAGCUUCUCAGGUGGCGGAGCGCAGCUGGGGCAGCAGCAGCAGCAGCAGCUAGCGGCCCGCGCGGCAAUGCUUGGUCAGGGGCAGCUCGGGAUGAUGCAAGGGCAGGGCAGCGCGGCUUCUGCUGCACACUACGGGCUCCAGUCACAGAUGAUGGCACAGCCAAGGCAAAAAGGCAUGGUACAAGGUGCACAAUUUAAUACUGCCAACGCAGCUCAAGCGUUGCAAGGGAUGCAAUCCAUGGGAGUCAUGGGUACUUUGGGGAUGAACCAGAUGAGACCAAAUGGAACUAUUCCAUAUGCUCAACAACGCUUUGCCCAGGCCCAAAUGAGGCCGCAGCAAGCGUCGCAGCAAGCUGCACUAUCUCCGCAGAAGGGGGUUGCUCAAGGCUUGUCGAGAACAGCAUCGAUCACAGGAUUAAACUCACAACUGCCUGGAGUGUCACAAAAUGGGCAGAUGAUGCAAAUGUCACCUUCGCAACAACAGCAGCAGUGGUUGAAGCAAAUGCAAUCAUCUUUGGCCUCGCCAUCUCAACAUCAAAUUCAGCAGCAGCACAGGAUGCUAUUGAUGCAACAACUUCAGAAAACAGGACUGACUCCACACCAGAUUGCACAAGCCCAACAACAGCAUCCACCACAUCUCAAUGCCCAGCAGUUGAUGCAACAGCAGCACAUUAUGCAGCAGCUUCAGCAGCAGCAACAGCAACAAUCUCCAAGGAUGUCAGCAUCUGGCUCCCAGAAGUCUGCAAACUUGACAGGAUCACAGCCGGGCACGCCUUUGUCAGGGGGGACUAUGGCUGGUGGAAGUGGAAGUCAAGGAGCAGAAGGAACUAACCAACUUCUUGGGAAGAGAAAAAUACAAGACUUGGUUGCACAGGUGGAUCCCCUCGGCAAACUUGAUCCAGAAGUGGAAGAUUUGGUUUUAGAGAUUGCUGAUGACUUCAUUGAAUCGGUGACUGCAUUUGCGUGUACCCUGGCAAAGCACAGGAAGUCAUCCGUUCUGGAAGCCAAGGAUGUGUUGCUGCACUUACAGAGAAAUUGGCAUCUGACAGUUCCUGGUUUUUCCAAGGAAGACAAGAAUCCACAGAGAAAUUAUGUAAAGGCAGUAGUGGAUCCCCAACAGCCAGAGUGUGACGCUGCUGGAGUUAGAAGCGCAAGCAAUAAAUUAGUUGCUAAUAAUUCAAUUGCCAACCAUCAGACAAGAGGUCCGGUUGCAGAUCCUUCACCAACAUCUACAGUGGGUCCUCUGUCAAAAGUUCCCCGUUUCUGA